GGGGGAUUGCUUCCUCGAUCGCGCAUCGUGUCGUCAGCGCCUUAUCCGAAGCCACGGAGUGUCGAGUUUUUCCCCGGAGCUUGAUCCCUGAGUCGCGAUCAGCCAUUUCUAAACAGUUGGUAGGAUUUGUGUGAGCGUGCGUGCAUAGGUGCGCCAAGCCUCGUCGAUCGGGUCGAAAGAAUCCGCACCGCGCUCGGAUUAGCCCGCGACUUAACCUCUGAUGCCAAUGGCCUGACCGUACACGAGCCGGCGCCUCGUCUCUUCGCUUCGGCCUCCUGCGGGUGCCCUUCAUCGUCCUCGUGAGUCCUGAGCCUCGCCGUACCUGCAACGGCCUUUGUUUCUCCACCGGGGAACCGUUUCCUGGCCGCGCCGCCCGGACUCUCGGACAGCCGUCUCGUGCCCGCGACGACGGGCUAACCUCAAAAGCGCAAGGCUCCGCCGAGCGCCGCGACACCUCGACCUGACCCUCGUCGUCAUGAAGCUCAUCGACCACGUGGUGCGCAGCUUCAAAGUGGCGAAAGUGUUCCGAGAAAACACCGACCGCAUCAAUAGCAUCGACUUCUCGCCCAGCGGCGACACCUUAAUAUCCUGCUCCGAGGAUGAUCAAAUCGUCAUCUACGACUGCGAGAAGGGCACGCAGGUCCGCACCGUCAACUCGAAGAAGUACGGAGUGGACCUGAUUCACUUCACCCAUGCCAAGAACACUGCCAUACACAGCAGCACCAAGGUCGACGAUACCAUACGAUACCUCAGUCUGCACGAUAAUAAAUAUAUCAGAUACUUUCCAGGACACACGAAAAAGGUCGUCUCGCUGUGCAUUAGCCCUAUCGAGGAUACCUUUCUCUCGGGCUCGUUGGACAAGUCGCUGCGCCUUUGGGAUCUGCGCUCUCCAAAUUGUCACGGAGUUAUGAACGUCUCGGGCAGACCGGUGGCUGCGUAUGACCCGGAGGGAUUGAUAUUUGCGGCGGGGGUCAAUUCAGAGUGUAUUAAGUUGUACGACUUGAGGAGCUUCGACAAGGGGCCGUUCGUUACGUUCAAGCUGUCGCAGGAGAAGGAGUGCGACUGGACUGGACUCAAGUUUAGCAGAGAUGGGAAGACGAUUCUUAUUUCCACUAAUGGGAGUAUCAUUCGACUCGUUGACGCUUUCCAUGGUACACCACUGCAGACAUUUGCAGGUUAUCUGAACAACAAAGGCAUCGCCAUCGAGGCGAGCUUUAGUCCAGACUCCCAGUUUGUCUUUAGUGGCUCAACGGAUGGACGUGUCCAUGUCUGGUAUGCGGAUACUGGGUAUAAGGUCUGCGUUCUCAAAGGGGACCAUCCGGCUCCUGUUCAGUGCAUCCAGUUUAAUCCAAAGUAUAUGAUGUUGGCAUCUGCGUGCACUAAUAUGGCUUUCUGGCUGCCCACUGUGGAGGACACGGCGUAAAGGAACCAAUGACCGGUCUUUGGUGAUACACAAUGAGGAAGGAAGUCGAGAAUGGACAGCGAGGAUCGUGCACGGCGAAACGACUUCGGUGCGGCCGUUGGCAUUGUCUCUAUUUAAAGAAAAAACGUUGCAUUUAAAACUAAGUACAUUAGCAAACCUGCAAAUGGAAGAGGCAUCGAUUGGAAUGCACUUUGAUGUGAGGCGGAAACGAACAUAGGCGAUGUCUUGAUGUUCACCCGAUAAUGACAUGCUGGCAUUCUACUCCGAGGAUAAUGAGAUUCAUCUAGGGAUGCCAGAAAUGUAAACAUGUGUGUACUAUCGAUUCAAAGAGACAAGGCUUAGGCAUGAUUCACUUCGGCUAGGAUGAGAAUUCAUCCUAAUUAACGGUAUCCCUGAUAUUCCGAUCUGAACGAUAAUGACAUUACUUGAUACUUUCCAUCACGUAUUAAGAUUGAAAGGCAUGGUAGCGCUUGAACAAGUUCAAGUCUUUUAUUUACACCGAAGAUGUUUCUUUCAUGAGUCUCACUGUACACCGAGUCAUUAAGGAUGUAUUCACGUCUGGAUUAUAUUCCAAGAAUUGGAAUAACUAAAAGGAUCGUUGAAGUGGGCCUUCAUUUGGAAUUCAACUUUGUUUCAAAUGGCCUGUCGGAACAGUCAUCGAAGGUACUAAACCCAUGUUCAUCGGUAUUGAAUUCCAAUAACCCAAUGUGAAUAUAUCCAACAUGGUGAGAAAUGUUCACAUGAACUGUGCAGAUCGCGUAUAACUGGUCAACUCGCAUAUCAAUUUAUCUUCCUAUGAUGAGGUUUGAGAAUCCAUGCCGAAAGGAUUGCAAGUGUGCAAGACAUUGGCUAGGACAUCCCGUAGUGCUAAGUGAAAAUGAAGGUUGCCUGCCUCACCUGUCCAGUGCUAUUGUAUCAGUUUAACAUUUGUACUUUGCAUCAGAUAACGCUCCACUGGGAAUUUGCUUCGGUGGACUCUUUAUAAUGUCAUGUCAUUAUUUCAUGGCGCGAUGAACGCGACCAUCUACACGAACGGAACUCGCGACAGUAGCGAGGCAGUCUCGUAUGUUGCACGCUACGAAGUAUAUCUCGCUAGUAUUUCGGAUAUAUCGUCCCGUGUACAUAGUCUCCUCCUGUACCUGCGUUUAGCAUUUUAAUACUAGUACUUUAUGUCGCUUCAUUUCGAGUACAUGGAAUACUUUUAAUUUCUGCAUAUUAACUCCAAGAGAUAACCAAGUACAUGGCUCGAGUCUGAUCAUUCUUUGGAAACUUUUUGAAUUUUUUUUUUGUAUUGCAGCGCUGUCUUAGAUUCAGACACACUCGAAUGUAGGGCAAAGUCUUUGCACUGUUUCAAACUGCUCAUCUUCUGUCACAGAGUGCAUCUGAAUUCAACAAAUAGAAUUCGAGGAAUGCUUAAGAUGUCAGCCAUGUAAUGUCAGUCUUUGUUCCAUUAACAGAAGUUGUCAUCAAACUGACUUGGCAACCUAUCCUUUUUCUUUUUCAUUUUUUUCUUUAUGCGACGUCGAUUGCUAGUUGUCAUUAACUGCAACCGAAUCUUUGCGCUUGACAGGAUCCAAGUGAUGACGCUCUCUUGAUGUUUCAACUGAGGACCGUUAAGGGAACUAUUGGAGUAGGAUAAGAUGGUUUUUAUUAGAUGGGUUUUUUCAUUCGGUUUAGGAAUUUAUAGGUCCGACGUUUAACUUGGAGAACUUAAGGGGCCGAAUCCUCUGGUAUUCAAUUUGAAACACAGUGAACGAUUAAUGUCAUUCGGUACAAUGCUUUCUGUCGGAUGCAGAAAAGGGUUCGGAGCAUAACUAUGCAUCGUCGUUUGUUGUAAAUAUGACACGUAAUUAUUUCCAUUAGGUUUUUAACGUUGAUAACGAUAAUCCUUAUAUAAUGUUAAGACAACAAUGUGGUUCUUUUUUGUCAGAAGAAAAGAAAAGGAAAAAAAACACGUAAGAGCAUGCGUGCGAUGGACGUGUCCUUGAUGUCCGAUGUAUGUCGGUGUACGAAUGUGAGUGCGUAAGAGUGCCACUGUAAAAUAGUAUUUUUUAUAACGGCAACAAGCGUAUAAUCGAAAGUGUACCCGAGUAAACGGACUUGCCGGAAGGCUAAUGUCAAACGUCGAAGUGUCAAAAUGACAGGUGUAAACUUGGCGGUGUGGAAGACCUCGUUAGAGAUUUGUCUCGAGUGUACGUGAGUGAACACAAUUCACCGGAGAGCUGCGUCGAGAGAAACCAAAGUCAGAGAAUUCGACUCGAUUGAACGAUGGAUCUUCAUUGUAUGCGCAUGCAAAGAGAAGACAGGAAAAGUCUCGGCAGUUUCAAGAGUUGUUACGGCAGGCUGUGAUUACAUUCUAGACUCAGACAUACUGUAAAGCCAGUGAACGUUGAAGCAAUUGAUGACAUCGGUGUGAAAAUUGUGAAACGGAACGUCAUACAGUUUUGUUAUUGUAUACUUGUUUUGUAAUCUACAAGUUGACAGUUGGCACGGUUCUGGAAUGUAACCGGCAGAAAUAGCGUAACAAUCUCAUGGAAUUGGUUUUUGAACGGAGAAUUUUUUCUCUUCUCUGUGUCACCUCGAGAAGGGCUUUUCGAGAUUAGGAUCAGCGCCGCAUCGAGUCUCGACUCCAUCCAGGCCGGCGCUUUGAAAUCGAGUAACAAAGUGUCAUCGUAGUAAGAGCCCUAGUGUUUGAAAUCUCGUCUCGGAGUAAGACUCGAAUGGACCUUCAACGUUGCGCUCUUUCCUGACUUCGAAAGUGCUGUGUCGUAGCGAAGAUAACCUUAUGCUUCCUCGAGGAAAGGUAUAUUCAGUGCGUCGUGUGAACGUGUCGUUGAACGACAUACUGCCAGGCUAAUCUCGCGUUUAAUGCACUUUAAAUGGCUUUAAGCUCUCGUUUCUUCGCCUUUAAAACAACCACAACCUGUCGAACGUUCCGCUUUCUUUGUUCGAACACCUGCGAAUCCUUCAGGGCAUUAGUUAGUUCGGUCCAUGGUAAACUUGAUGGUAGGAUAUAACUCUGUCUCGAAGUCUAAAAUCCUUUUAGUCGGUAUACAUUAUUAUAUACCUCUGUCGUUGUCUUCGAAGUCAAACAGUAAGCGCUGUCAAAGCUCUCGUAGUGAAUCGAGGCUGUCUGUCCAGGAGAGACGAGGAUGCUCCGUGUCAAAAAACUAACUCAGUUGAUUUUUAUACUUAUAAUUUCUGCUAGGACUUUGGAAAUUUGACAAGUAAAAUUUUUACGACUAAAUUUCUCUGAAGAAAUAUUGUUUAUUCGGUGUAACCUCCUCUUUGUUGACAAGUAAGACUAGAUACCCGUCUCUCCUUAAAUUAUAGAAGCUAAUAGAUUUAGAAUGUUAAGAAGUUUAGGAUAAGGAAAUGUGACAUCGUAUCUUUGCUUCGAAGGCCAAUACGACCCAUGACAUCCAUGUCCUUUGUAAAAGUACAUGUGAAAAGGUUUUUUUGCUUUGGAGACAAGUUACGAAAGGCUCUGGUCGAUUCGAAUUAGACUCCGUGCUACCUUUCUAAAUAGGAUUGCCACCUUCAAGAGGGAGUUCUUUACACUUCUGUACACUUUGACUUCUUCUGUCUCGAUAAUACUUUUUAAUGGAUUAUAUUUCUUUGGUCGAAGCACAAAAGCACUCUUCGAGGACUAUCCAGUUGUUAAAAUUUGAUCGGUCGAUUAAGCGACUCUUAAGUUGAGUUACAAUGUGCUCCGGCCAGUGAAAUUGUUUACAAAAAAAACUGUUUCUUCCUCGUUGUUUUCUCCAUUUUUUCCUCUUUCUUUUUGUAAAUUUGGGAGUAAUGACCGUUGCAUCCAGUAGACGUAGUCCUGGGGCAAACUGUUCCUUUUUAAUUCCCAAGUAAUACCGCUGGCGAAAUAAAUAUUUUAUAUAAAAGUAAGUAACAGAUUAGGUUUAAAAGAAAUUGACAAAUGUCCACCUGGUAUAGGUAUACAUUGUAUUAUACGUAUUUUGUAAGCGCGAUAAAAUUUGGUUGUAUGAAUGAUUUAAGAGAAGGUUUAAAUAUUUAAGCGACGUGUAAAUCGUGGUCAAGUAUAGCGGAAACUUUUAUUUUAAAUACAGACGCAUUAUUUAACUAUCCGAACUUUAUUUAUGUCUUCGGUAUUCCCAAGCUCCAAUACUAGAAUUAAUUGGUAUUUAGACCUCGACGAGGUUUUAGUUACAGCAAUUACUAGAAAUCUGUGAAACUCGGUAAAUUGACAAUAGGUGUGUACUUCUUUGCAAUAGAGAUUAACUGAUAUUAAUCAAAUUAUUAUAAUUUCCUAUUUUGAUUACUUUUCAGCAUUAUCGAUAGCAUUCGUACUUAUGAGAAUUAUGUUUUCCAGCAUUUAUUAAUUCAUUCUGCAUUCGUAGUGCCAAAAGUCAUGGCUGAAAGGCGUACAAUUGAAUGUUUAUUCAAUUAUCCUUUCCAAUGCAUGCGCAGGGAAGAUAACUUUAAUCAUCUUCGAUCUAUUCGCUGUUCAUCGUUCCAGUAACAAAACUUAGGAAUAUAAUGCUGGCAUGUAAAUGUACUUUUGAGUGCUUCUUUACAUGCCUUUAAUUAACAGGAUUGGAAACUAAAGCUGAUAAAAAGUGAAAAUUUGGCAUUUUAAUAGCAGCUUAAAUAUUUAAGUAUCUUUUACGUCAUUACAGUCGAACUUGUAUACGUAUAAUAAUUAUGUUAGCCAGGUGCUAUCUAGUGGAAUCUUAUUAAAUUGAGAUGCAUUUUCACCGUAUUUCGGAGGUCAUUCCUAAAAUCUUUCACUCGAGCUGUAUUACUUGGGUUUUCUUUCCCUUCGUUAAGAUACAACGCCCAUGGCUUUUAUAUGUAUUUGGCGCGAAACUCUACAGAGUUUUCCGAUAAGUCCGGGCUGUGUUCACAAUCGAGGAAAUCUCGUUCUCCUUUUAUAAACAAGAAACAAACACGUGUGUCGCCGUACUUGGAAUUUCUUCAAGAACUGAAUGUGACAAUUAGACUUUUUUUUUCUUAACGUACCGCAGAAAAGUCAUUCGAUUACUAACUUAAGAUGCACGACAAAUGGUAUUUUUAUUUUUAUGUACGAUGUCUAGAUGGCCGUUCGAAAUUGAAUUGUGAAUAAAAUAAGUUUAUUUUGUAAAGCC
rnacentral:misc_RNA from 1 species